rnacentral:rRNA from 1 species
GAAGCACCGGCUAACUCCGUGCCAGCAGCCGCGGUAAUACGGAGGGUGCGAGCGUUAAUCGGAAUUACUGGGCGUAAAGAGUGCGUAGGUGGUUUGAUAAGUUAUCUGUAAAAGCCCUGGGCUCAACCUAGGAAGGCCAGAUAAUACUGUUGGACUCGAGUAUAGGAGAGGGUAGUGGAAUUUCCGGUGUAGCGGUGAAAUGCGUAGAGAUCGGAAGGAACACCAGUGGCGAAGGCGGCUACCUGGCCUGAUACUGACACUGAGGCACGAAAGCGUGGGGAGCAAACAGGAUUAGAUACCCUGGUAGUCCACGCUGUAAACGAUGUCAACUAGCUGUUGGUCAUAUAGAAGUGAUUAGUGGCGAAGCAAACGCGAUAAAGUUUGACA